GCAUUCUUAUUUGUUACGAACGACGCCGU
rnacentral:sRNA from 1 species